UACGUAGGUGGCAAGCGUUGUCCGGAUUUAUUGGGUUUAAAGGGUGCGUAGGCGGCUUUGUAAGUCAGUGGUGAAAUAUGGCAGCUCAACUGUCAAGGUGCCAUUGAUACUGCAGAGCUUGAGUACAGAUGAGGUAGGCGGAAUUGACGGUGUAGCGGUGAAAUGCUUAGAUAUCGUCAAGAACACCUAUAGCGAAGGCAGCUUACUAGGCUGUAACUGACGCUGAGACGCGAAAGCGUGGGGAGCAAACAGG
rnacentral:rRNA from 1 species